rnacentral:rRNA from 1 species
AGUGAACGCUGGCGGUAGGCCUAACACAUGCAAGUCGAGCGGCAGCACAGUAAGAGCUUGCUCUUACGGGUGGCGAGUGGCGGACGGGUGAGGAAUACAUCGGAAUCUACUUUUUCGUGGGGGAUAACGUAGGGAAACUUACGCUAAUACCGCAUACGACCUACGGGUGAAAGCAGGGGAUCUUCGGACCUUGCGCGAUUGAAUGAGCCGAUGUCGGAUUAGCUGGUUGGCGGGGUAAAGGCCCACCAAGGCGACGAUCCGUAGCUGGUCUGAGAGGAUGAUCAGCCACACUGGAACUGAGACACGGUCCAGACUCCUACGGGAGGCAGCAGUGGGGAAUAUUGGACAAUGGGCGCAAGCCUGAUCCAGCCAUACCGCGUGGGUGAAGAAGGCCUUCGGGUUGUAAAGCCCUUUUGUUGGGAAAGAAAAGCAGCAGGUUAAUACCCCGCUGUUCUGACGGUACCCAAGGAAUAAGCACCGGCUAACUUCGUG